rnacentral:lncRNA from 1 species
CACUGAUUCGGUAAAUAUUUUUCUGAGAAGUGUUUUACAAAUAAAACGAAAACGUGGAUAAUCAAAAUGACUAAACACUUUAUUGAUUAACCUAAAAGCAUGUGUGUAUUGUUGAAGUUGGAUUAACCUAAACAACACCAAUAGUUGGAUUAACCUAAAAGCAUGUGUGUGUGCGCGCGCGCGCGUGUUUUAAGGAUAAAAUACAAAACUCAUUAACUGGAAAAGAAACAGAGUACUCAAUAUUGUUGAAGUUGCAUACCAAAGUGGGGACCACAAACCAUCACUAAUCCUCCACCCGAUUUGCACCUAAUGAGUUGAAAAAAUUGGUUGAGAAACAAGAAAAAGUAUGUGCCGGAACACAAUUCGGUAUAUUAAGUAUAUUAAGUAUUAUGGUAAAAAUGGUUGGAUACUUGAAAAAAAAAUUAUGUCUCUCUAUAUAAACAAUGCACUGCCCGCUAGGUCUCCCUCCACUAUAACACUCCCACUCUUCACACCUCACAAUUCAGAGCAGCUGCCUCCCACAACAAUAGCCACUUAUGGCUCCUCCUCCUCCCAAAUUCUUCUCUCUCCUCUUCCUCCUCUCUCUCCUCCUCUUCUCUCUCCAAGCUCAAGCCAGAGAGAGCCAAUUCUUUAGCAAAGUUGCCAGUUCUAACAACAACAAUGUGAAGGAAUCAGAGCUCACAAAAACAGAGACUCCAAAAACAGAGUCUCCAGAAACAGAGCUCCCAAAAACAGAGUCCCCAGUUUUCAAGCAAGAGCAAGAGAAAGAGCCAACUUUCAUUCCAGAGACUCAAAACGGAUACGGCCUCUACGGUCAUGAGUCCGGCCAGCUGCCUCCCUCCACCACAACCAACGGUGAACCCUACAAGUACACACCCAACAACAACAACAACCUGCCCUAUACGGCCGAGGCAGAGAAGCAGCACAAUACAAAGUACCCCGACAGAUACAACAACCACUACAAUCCCAACAAAAACAAUUACUACUACAACGGGAACAAGUUUGAGGCCAACCCUAAUGGCCUCAGCGACGCGAAGUUCGCUCAGAGCAGCUACACCACCACCACUGCCACCCCCAACAACUACCAGAGCAACAACAACAACUUUGAGGCCAAUCCUAAUGGCCUGAGCAACACGAGGUUCGCUCAGAGCAGCUACACUACCACACCCAGCAACUACCAGUACAACAACAACUUUGAGGCCAAUCCUAAUGGCCUGAGCGACACGAGGUUCGCUCAGAGCAGCUACACUACCACCCCCAGCAACUACCAGAACAACAACAACUUUGAGGCCAAUCCUAAUGGCCUGAGCGACACGAGGUUCGCUCAAAGCAGCUACACCGCCACCCCAAACAACUACCAGAACAAUAACAACUACUACAAUGUUGAGAAGCAGGGAAUGAGUGACACCAGGUUUUUGGAGAACGGCAAGUACUACUACGACCCGAGAAGCCAGAGCAACUACAACCAGAACCAGUACGGAAACUCUAGGGUGGCGGACUCAAAAAAUUGGUACAACAACAGGGGCAAUUACGGCAACGGAAAUGCGAACCAGAACACCUAUAACUCCAUGGAAGAGUACCAGAAUGAGGAGGAGUUCCAAGACAGUGAAGAUCAGUUCGUGCCAUGAGACUUGUUUUGAGUAGUACCACUUUGCUGUGUAUUGAUAUAUAUAUUUAUGGUAAUAUGUUUUAAUCGAAAAGAACUUGAUUAAAGAUAGAUUAUUGUCUCUCUUUCUGCAUAAAAAUGCUUCAGUGUUCAUGCUUUGUAAAAGCUUGAGUUUGUGGACUGAAAGAGUGAAGAAAAUGUAUAUCAGCUUCUCCCUACAAGGUAUUUUGUUUCAACUCCUUGAUUUGCCAAUUUGGUUGGUACCUUUUAUUGUAAAAGAGUUGGUUAUGCAGGUAAUUAAGUUAUAACAAUAUUGGUAUUAGAGUAAUUAAUAGUAGACCGUUGAUCCGUCUCAUUGAAAGCUUAACGAUGAUUGAAUUAUUAGUUCAUUCACCUAAUCCCUUUGGCUAAGCUUGAGGCUUAGGAUCCUAGCACGCUCAUAAUCAUAUGGUGAAAGAAAAAGGAGACUCAAGGUUGCUUUCAAGUUUUCAAAGUGGCUUAUAUUCAUUUUCCACAGGAGUAAUUAGCUGGUAAAAAGAGCAUAAUAGCAUUCAAAGUGCUUCAACCUUUUGACCAAAAACUUUAUCUUUUUUCCCCUUCUUUGGAUGAAUAUUUUAUUUACUUUAGAAAGUCUUGUCGCAACGAAAAUGUUGUUCUUUUAAAGUCGAAGUAUCAUGAGUUCAAAUUGUGAAAAUAACAUAUAUGCAAAAUAAGACUAUGUACGAUAGACGUUCUGGCCCCUCCUCUGACCCUUCCAAAGCUUGGUGCCAGGCUUCGGGUCGCCCUUUGGAAAAAGUAUCAUACACGCCAGGAAAACCCUCACUCUUCAUAAACAAAUGUAGACACAAUUAUAGCUAUGUCACACAACCCAUGUUAUGCUGAUAAGGUGAAUCCAAGAAUUUUUUUUUUAAUUAAAAUUUUUUUCUUUCAGAAAGACAGGAGAACAAAAAACUAAACCCCGCAAAAAAAAUUAUGCCAACAAAGUUAUGAAAAACGAUAGCUAGGGAAUCCUGAAAAAUUCCUAGAAUAGGCUCAAGACGCAAGGGAAGAGAUAUGAUCCCACCAAUGAAAGCUUGCAUGAUGAACUCCAUAAUUAGCUAAGAAAUCAACAACUUAAUUACCCUCUUGAAAAAUAUAAGAAAUUUGAGAACACAUUUUAGCUAAUAAUUUUGAGUUUGAAGUUCACAUUUUUACCAUGCUAUAAGAGUUGGCUAUUCAAAAUUUGAGCCCGUUUAUGAACAAUUGAAUAUCUAAGUUUGAAACAUACACAAUCCAUUAAUCACAAUGUGCCACAAAAAAUUGAGUAACAGAGCAACUUGUUUUAUCUAACUAUCUUCCUCUCACAUAAUUUUGAGCAACAAAGGACGAGUCUUGCCGCAACGGAAAUGUUGUUCUUUUGUGAUUAAAAUGUCACGGGUUUGAGUCAUGAAAGCAAUAUCUUUGUAAAGUAAGGAUAAAGCUGCGUACGAUAGAUGUUCUCUUUGACUUUCGCAAGUGAAAAACCUUAUUGACUUGAAAUCGCCCUCUCACGUCCAUCCAUCCACCCAAUGCAUGCAUAUUAACAAGCAGUUACAUAAAUUAUAAACUAACUCACUUGAUUGGGACCAUUUAUAGAGUAUGCAGUUGAUCUAGGAGAUGGAAUUAUUUUGCAGUUUGGCCAUCUAAAAUUGCAGAAAACUUGUUCAAGUUUUAAAGCUUCAUCACCUACCUAUUCAAGAGAGAAAAGCUAGUCAGAAAUCAAGACACUUUAAAAUCUCUACCAAAAUUUUAAUAAAAUUAUUAUCAGCACUUCAAAUAAAUUAUUAUGUGUUCAAUAACUAUUUCCGAAUGUCAAUAACAUCUCCCACUUUUCUAACAAUCUUUCCCAUCCAUGCAAGAAAUGCAUGCAUGUGGCAUUUAUAUAUUAUAAACUAACCCAAUCAAUGGGGGACCAAAUCGGGGUAGCUGCUCUCUCUACCACCAAAAGCUAUUUGGCAAAGUUGGUGAUGUGCCUUUAUUUAUGGAUAUGGAUGCCCACUUCACCAAAUUGUACCGCUAUAUGAUUCAAAUUGUAGUAUAUAACUGCAUGCACUAAUGAUGAGGGACUUGGAUUGUUUGCCCUUCCCAUCUUAUGUCUUUCCCAUCUCCUCUUAUUUAUGUGAUCACAGUUAAGUUACGUCAACAUUUGAUAUUCACAUUACUUUUUCUCUUAUUAUUUCUAUAAAAAAAAAAUCAAUAUAAAAUGUUGACGUGACUUAACCGUAAUCACAAAAAAUAGAAGAAAAUGAGAAUGACAUGAGAUGAGGAGCGCAGUGCAAAUCCAUAAAGGGAGAAUGUGGGAAGGAAGGAGCAUGUGCUAGUAGGACUAAUAAUCAAAGCCAACCUCUAUUCUUAACCCCACUCUCUCUCUCAAAUUAUUGUGUGUAUCUCUCCAUACGCAUGACCUUCGCGCUAGGCGAGAAAACAGACACAAAAGUAAACACACCCUUCGACACAUGGACGAGGCAACAUAUGCUCAUUGGGGAUAACUGUCCACACUCAAAUCUUUUUGCCAUGAAAAAUACUUCAACUAAAAUUAUAAAUUACUUAUAUAUUCAAAAAUAAUGUUUCAGUCCAAAUACUUAACUGAAAAUACCCUCUCACGUUUUAUACUUUUCUUACACUUUCACCCUUCAGAGCCAUGUAAUUUUUUCAUUAGCUAAUAGUUUACAAUUUUACCGUUCUAAACACUAGUUACCCAAACUCGUGUUGUUGGACAAUAAAUUAAUAGCAUUGGAUCAAAAAUUCAAUUUAUUUUCAUCAUUCGAAAUUGCCCUUGCUAAAAAAAUGUUUCUAACUCCGUCCAUGCUUCGACAUGCAAGUUUCUCUCCAAGUGUAGGUCUUGGACUUCAAUUUUAAUUCCCUCCAAUAUUAAAGUGUGAAGCAGACUUGGAUUGGAUCCAAUUUGACUACCAACCCUCCAUAUUUGUGUGAUAAAUUGAAGGCUGAAAAACUUUUCUUAUGGUCAAUAUCUAAACCUUAAGGAUGGAUUUGAGGCUAGAGGUUCACCAGAUGAAGCCCCAGUUUGGCUUAGCUUAACUUUUUACUCUUACUCUCACUUCCUUUCUCUGUUUCAGAAAAAUCCUUCAGGUGUGAAGCCAUCUCUUAAAAAAAAAAACAAAUCCCGGGAAACAAACAACGACCCAGUUGAGAAAAUUGUCGAUUCUACAAAACCCAGAUGGGAAAAUUUGAAGUUCUUCCGAUUUGCAAAGAUAAACAGUUAACCACGAACAAAAUAAGCUAUACUUAUUGAACAAAGCUUUCUCUUUUUUAUCUGAGACAAUGUAAAAAUAGAAGACUUUUCAUCCGAAAAGAGCAUUUUCCCGGGACAACAACCCAGCUGAGAAAAUCCUGGGUUUUACAAGACCCAGGUGAGAAAUCUCAAAAUUCUUCUGAUUAAAAAACAAGUACACAAAUUUAAACAAACAAAGCUAUACUUUCUGGAAAAGAAACUUGAAAUCACUACAAAACGAGUUGAAAAAUCAAAGUCAAACCUUCUUUAACUUCAAGAUGGAAUGCAGAGCUCGAAGACCUUUCGUUGCUGGAAGGUAGAGAGCUCGAAGCGAGGGAGCUCAUCGCCUGCUCUUGCAUUUCUAUCUGCUAAACCCAAUCAAAUAGAGACAGACAGAGAGAAAUAAAACCGAAUUUUCUGCCGGAACAAAAUUAAAAGAAGAGCGGAACAUUAAAGUUGAAAUAUCACAUAAGAUAGAAUCAUUAUGAAAUAGAAUAGCGGUAAGUUUGACGAAUACAUCUAAUUAGACUACUUUCAAGUAUAUUAACA